rnacentral:misc_RNA from 1 species
UCCGAGUUGUCCCCGGCAGUCCUCCUAGAGUCCCCGGCGUUACCCGCUGGCAACAUAGGACGAGGGUUGCGCUCGUUGCGGGACUUAACCCAACAUCUCACGACACGAGCUGACGACAACCAUGCACCACCUGUGCAGAGCCCUUGCGGACCCGACAUCUCUGCCGGAUUUCUCUGCAUGUCAAGCCUUGGUAAGGUUCUUCGCGUUGCGUCGAAUUAAGCCACAUGCUCCGCCGCUUGUGCGGGCCCCCGUCAAUUCCUUUGAGUUUUAGCCUUGCGGCCGUACUCCCCAGGCGGGGUGCUUAAUGCGUUAGCUUCGGCACAGAGCGGGUCAAACGCCGCCCCACACCUAGCACCCAACGUUUACGGCUAGGACUAC